rnacentral:rRNA from 1 species
GACGAACCGAGCGAACGUUAUUCGGAAUCACUGGGCUUAAAGGGCGCGUAGGCGGGCCGUCAAGUCGAGGGUGAAAUCCCCCAGCUCAACUGGGGAGUGCCUCCGAUACUGGCGGCCUCGAGGGGGAUAGGGGCAUGCGGAACUUCCGGUGGAGCGGUGAAAUGCGUAGAUAUCGGAAGGAACACCGGUGGCGAAAGCGGCGUG